rnacentral:rRNA from 1 species
CCUACGGGAGGCAGCAGUGAGGGAUAUUGCACAAUGGGGGAAACCCUGAUGCAGCGAAGCCGCGUGAGGGAAGAAGUAUUUCGGUAUGUAAAGCUCUAUCAGCAGGGGAGCAAAUGACAGUACCUGACCACGAAGCCCCGGCUAACUACGUGCCAGCAGCCGCGGUCAUACGUAGGGGGCAAGCGUUAUCCGGAUUUACUGGGGGUAAAGGGAGCGUAGUCGGUUAUGUAAGUCUGGAGUGAAAGCCCGGGGCCCAACCCCCGGACUGCCUUGGAAACUGUUUAACUGGAGUACAGGAGGGGUAGGCGGAAUGCCUGGUGUAGCGGUGAAAUGCGUAGAUAUCAGGAGGAACACCGGCGGCGAAGGCGGCAUGCUGGACUGAAACUGACGUUGAGGCUCGAAAGCGUGGGUAGCAAACAGGAUUAGAUACCCCAGUAGUC